UUUUAUUAAAGAACUAACUUACGAGGAAUCUGAGGAGUUCCAUAACUUCGGCCGAAUGUCUAAAACAGAUCUCGAAUUUUUGUUAAAUAAAAUUAGAGCUCUAAUUAAAAAGCACGAUACUCAAAGGAGAAUCGCUGUACCAUCAAAAAAGAGAUUAGCAAUAAUGUUACGUUAUUUGGCAGCAGGAGUUAGUUAUCGUAGUCCUCACUUUCUUUUUAAAGUUUCGCAUCAAGUCAUCUCAUUAAUAGGGCCUGAACUUUGCAAAGCUAUUAACUCUUUACUCUCAAGGAUCAAAUUAAGUUUGGUGGACAGUGGCUGAAAAUUGUUGAAUGGUAUUGGCUGGAGAUGGUCGAAUGUCUUAGGCUGGAGAUUCUGGAAUAAUAUAGCUUGGAGAAAACAGUAGCUACCUAGGUUAUCCUUCGACUGUACACAUUUUCGAAGAUUGACUUCCGACCCGGACCCGGUCAAAUAAAAUUGAGGUACCCGUCUCGAACGCACUGUAUAUGGACGAGUAUUUGGGCGCUCUCCGGAUUUAUUUAUUUCUUCUAGGAGUGAGAAAUGGAAGGUAAAAAUAAUGUUUUAAUUUUCAGAGCCGUUUUGAUCGCUGAUAAGGAAAGCCAGCUGCAGAAUAUAAGUGUGAAGUUUCUAAUUGUUCCCGUAGAGAUAUGUAUGUAAAUUUUUUUGAUAGCAUCCGACAGCCCUCGGCAUGAGGAAGUAGGGGAACAAUUAAUAUUGUAGGAUUUCAGCCCCGUUAAUUACGUAUUGGCCGAUUUCAGUUUCUGUAUAUUAAUUUAAAACUGGGGAAGAAACCAGCAAGGUAGCUCGUUUGAACGUAGAGACACCUGAUAAAGUAUCCUGUUACUUGAUCCUCAAAUUCCAGGACGCGAUCGGUGUUAAUUGAAUUAUCGAAUUUCAGAAUUUCAACCGGGCCAAUUAAGUGAGUGUUGAAAUUCAGUUAAAUUCAAAUUAAAGUUAAGUGGGAGAAGUAACUCAUUCACUUUCCUUACUAUCUUUUCCAAGAGUGCGCACUUUGGUUUCGAUGAUGCGCGUACGCGAGUGAUUGUUAUAACGUCGACCAAAAAAUAAUAACGUGCGACUCUACUAACGCAAGUGCAUAGAAACCAAGAUUAAAGGUGUCUACCACAGGGAGCUCCCGAAGAAAAGGAAGUCGAACAACACAGUAAGUGACAAUUCCUUGUUUCCUUUACAUCUUUUGAACAUUGAGUAUAAAUAACAGUAACUAAUUAAAUGGGUUGCAGUAAACGUUAUCAGAGUGGGUUAUGGUUGGUAUCGUUGGAAGCGCGCUCAUUUAUCCAGACGUUCGGACUUUGUCCCCGAUUUUUAGCACAGCAAUCAUCAAAGUCUCUCUUUAACAGUAAGAAUAGAUGAUCACUUUAACGGCAAGGGUAGAAAAGUGAAACAAAUGGUUGUGCAUUCUAGUGGCAUCUGUCAUUCUUAUUAAAAAUGGAACGCGGAGCACGAAAUAAAAUGGCGUUCAGAACAUAAAACAACAUUGUUUCUAUGGAAACAACUGAAGAACCUAAGCUUGCUACUUUGACUGCUAAAUUAAAUUCGGAACCUUUAGAAGUUUUAUUAUGGCUUCUGAAAUAAUGUAAAGUUAUGUAUAAUACACGGGAUGUUUCCCUUAAUCGUCUUGUAUACUAAAUAACUAUUAUUAUAACAAAAAUGUAUUCAUUACGCUCACAGCGAUUUCGAAGUGAUGCUUUUUUCAUUUUCUGCAUAAUUUAUUAGGAGAACUCCGUUUGAAAUUGUUUAUGUCAGAUGCAAACAUUACAAAGAUCGCAUUAUUUUUAUUAGCUUAUAGGUAUCAUAUUAUAUACGAGGAACCAAAAUAUAAGAUUAAAAGUCGUAAUCUGCGUCCAUUGUAUCCACACGUCACGACCUCACAACAGAACGCUCAGACAUCAUUCAAUAUUUCACUCCUCGAUGAUCGAUGACAGCCUCUCUACAAUACGUUCAUGCUCCAAUAAAUCUUAAAAUAAUUAACCGCAGCAAAAUUAAUUAGAGGACUUUCCUUUACGAGACUAGGAAAAGUCAUUAGCCCUAGUUAGUGCCCUACUAAAUUUCAUUCACUGUUUAUCUACGAUCAAGUGCUUAAUUACAAAGCAAUUCCAACUCUUUUAAUGUAGAUAAAUGUUUCGGAAUUCCGGUUAAUUUAUCAAUUGAAGUUAGAUUAAGGUUCGACCAUCCAAUACUUACAAAGCAUUUCGCGUGAUAUUUCAACGAACUUUACACGCUCAUUUCCCUUAAAUACAUAAUGGUUUAAAUUAGAUUUUCCAUUCCUUUUUUCUCCUUAUUGCCGUUUGACACGAAAGAUCCCUUAAUCUAAGUAGUAGCAAUCAUUAGAUAUUCAGGGUAGAAAUGACUUCACUCUUAACAGAAUAAAAGAAAUAAAUAGAUCCAACUCUAAAGUAAGAGGUUAAUUGCCAAUAAAAAUACUUUUAUGCUAUGCUGUGCUGCUAUCAUACCAAGAUGUUUAACAACAUUCUUAAGAUGGGUUUAUACAAUCAAAACACCGAUCGUACAGAAUGGGAUGACCGCCGUACGGAAUGGAAUGGCGGCCGUACGGAAUGGACUGGGAACAGAAUCACCGGUUAAGGAUGUGCGCGUCAAAGUGGCGCAUGCGCACUCUUCAAGGACAGUUCAAUGACGAUAAAUACAACAUUUUGUCUGUAUUAUACCGUUAUUUUCUCUGGUCUAAGAAAGUAGGUAGCUAUCGAUCGAAGUUCAUUCCCUCCUGUUCAAAAUCCAAAGGUUGCCGACUGGUCCAAGAGUUCAAAGUCCAUUUCUAGCUGUCCAAAGUUCAAAGGUUGUCGAUCAAAUUCCAUAUCCAGCUGCUCGCCGACCAAACGUCGCUCACUGUUCUGUUUCGUAACGGCGCCGUAUGGAGCAAUUUAAAAAUUGUUAAAGAUUAGUGAUGUGUACAUGUUUAGUUCGGGUGUAGUCGGUAAAACGACGAAUAUAACAUUUUCUUCAUAGUGGUAAUUGAUUUAGGCAGUGGCGCCGAUCGAAAAAACAUGUAAUGGUGACGUAAUACUGAGCCAGUGAACUAGUAAUGGAUAAAUAUAUAAAGCAGGAGGCAAUAAACUCAUUUGCGGAAAGAUCGAUGAUAGUGCAAUGCAUGGUAUGUAAGUCAUAGGGCAAUGGACGUAAAUUAAAUAGCGUUAUCACAACUCACCUGCUUCUACUGUUGAAGAUGAAGUACCUAAGUACAGACAGGGAAAUCCUUUCAAUGAAAAAAUAAUGUUUUUUGACCCAACCCGAAAGUGUAGAACCAAACGAGAAUCCGCUAGAACGAAGUGAAGGAGAAGAACAAGAAAUAAAUAAUACGUAACGAGAAGUAAUACUUUAUACAUCCAAUACAUUCCGUUGCUGACGGCCUCUGCAAACCAACAAACUAACGAAAGCAAUCACUUUGGAAAUUUUAUUGCUUCUAAGCUGAGAAGUACCGAUGAAACAGUUCGAUUACUACAAUUCUUACUAUUCCUUUCCAACUCAACCCUACGCAGCACGAUAGAGUUCUUCAAGCAGGUCCUACUACCGGUCCUCUCAAUUGCAAAUCAUUAAAGUGCUUAUACAAACAGCCUUUUCAGAGUGUGGAUACUAAUAACUGUGGAGAACCUUCUCAAAUUGUGACUACAAAGAACUGGACUGGACUACAAAACUGGAGCCGGUAUGAGACCCAUAAUUGCUGCUGCGUUUCUGUUUUGGAUACCAACGAUCAAUUUUCGAAUAUUUGUGUACUUAAUAAUGAUCUGUAAUCAUAAAAACGAAUACCCUUCACAUCAGCAGCAGUAACGUGUUAAAUUGAUUGUACAUGAAAAACAUUGCUAGCAGAUUAGAUAAGCAUGAGAAUUUAAAAAGAACACUUGAUGACCCGGAUCAAAACAUGAACUUACAAAUUAAGUGACCCUCGGAGACUAUAACUGAAUUUCAAUCCAUCAUUUUGGAUUAUGAAAAAAGAAAAGCCACAGAUUUUAACGACAAUUGGAGGAAGGGAAGUAAAACACACCAUACAGAUGCGAAAUGCUCCUGGCGAGGCCAACGUGGAAAUUUUCGUGUUUGCUUGACUUAGCUUCAAUAACCCUUAAAAGUAAUUGAUAGUUUUACUAUUAUUUAGCAGUAUUUAUAGAUUUGAGCAUAUUACGCCACACUAUAAUAGCCUUGAUUAUCUCAAAAUAGAAAGUAGUUUUACACUUACCUUUGCUACUUUGUUAUACAAUUUGAUUCAUACCUUCGUUCCAGAUUAUCUUUUUAAAUUGUUAGUAAAACGAGCUGAUAUGCAUAAUGUUGCUCUUCGAAAUAUCAAUACCCAGUACACUACACCUAAACAUACUACAACAAAAUACAAAAGUUACUUUGAAUACACAGCCCCGUGCAUGUUAAAUAAAUAUCAUGUACUAUUUCAACUGUCAUCUGUUCAUCAAUUUAAGGAAAAAUUUAGAAAUCAUUUGUUAAAUUCACAGAAAUUAGCAAAUUAAAUGUGUAGCAAAGUACCCUUUUUGUAGUUUCCAAUUAAGAAUUAUUACGUAAAAUAAUAACACUUACCUAUUUAUAAUAAUCAAAAAUACCAAUCCUUGUCCAUUUUUUAUUAUUUUUAUUAUUAUUUCGAUCAAUCUAUGUCUAUUUGUGUUUACAUUUUUAUAAUUUUAAUUUAAAUUGUAGGUAUAUAGAAUAUAAUAAUUCUUGCUUCAUUAUUGAUUUUUGUUGUUUAUAUACAUAUAUUUUAUUGUUUCUAUAUUUAAUCUAGUUUUGCAUGUUUAUAAGACCAUUAAUGUUGUUAUAUAGAUAUAUUUUAUUAUUACUAUACUUAAUUUUUUGCAUGUUUAUAAAUGUUUAUAAGAUGUUAUAGUUGAAAGUAUGUCCAGGAAAUAUGGCAAGUUUUUAGGCAGGAUUGAAAACCGGCUUUGCCGAAUCUUGUCCUUUUGAUUACUUAAUAAUCAAUAAAUGUUAUUAUUAUUAUUCUUCUUCAGCUUUAGAUCGUACGUCAUAUUACAGAAGUUACUCAAAAUACAUACAACAUCACUGAAAGAAAAUUCAAAGUGACUUCCAGCGAAUGGUUUCAUACUGCAAAAUUACACUAUGACCACGUCGUCUUCUUUCAUUUCGUACUAUUUCGUAAAGGUUUCCGAGUUCUUUGUUUUGGUAAUUCUCUUUUACGAGUAUAUCUUUCAGUUUGUCCUCCAUGUAUUUCCUCUUUUUUGUUCUUAAUAACUUUUUCAACUUAUUUCUUUCUCUUUGGUAUGUUUGUUGCUUCUGUUGUUUC